rnacentral:rRNA from 1 species
UUAACGGAGAGUUUGAUCCUGGCUCAGGACGAACGCUGGCGGCGUGCUUAACACAUGCAAGUCGAACGAUGAAGCCCAGCUUGCUGGGUGGAUUAGUGGCGAACGGGUGAGUAACACGUGGGUGAUCUGCCCUGCACUUCGGGAUAAGCCCGGGAAACUGGGUCUAAUACCGGAUAUGAUCACGAGCUGCAUGGCUUGUGGUGGAAAGGUUUACUGGUGCAGGAUGAGCCCGC